rnacentral:lncRNA from 1 species
GUUUUCCCUGAACUUUGUCUUGUAGGAGUUGAUGUUUGAAUGAAGCGAGUACAGUUGGUCACUCUUCUUCAUUCGCAAAGAGGAACAUCAAGUUCCUCAGUAAAAUAUAACAUUGACGCUUGUACAAAAUUUCCUUGUUCAACAUCAUUUUUUGCUGGUGGUGGUAUAUCAAAUCCUGAGUUCAGGUGAAUUUCUGCUUCUCUUUCUUCUUUUACUAUGGCUUUAGGAUUAGCAAACAUUCUGAAGAUAUUAAACCAUGAACAUCUGGAAAGGAACAUGCAUGUGAUUUCGAUGUGGGCUACUUUCUUCAGUCUUGCAUUAGAAAGAGCAGUUGUUACAUUUCAUUUCUAUGGAAAGGUUCGCUAAUUCUGUACCAAAACAAGGAAAAAGAAAGACUGCAAAAUUAACUCCUAGAACUUUGUAGCUUAAUAGCUUGGAGAUUUUGCAUCUAUUUUAAUGCUCUUGUUGGAGUAGAUUGAGUAAAUAAACUUGCAAAUGGAGGUUUUGUUUUGGGUUUUCACUAACUCAUACUUUCAAAGUCCAACUUAUCAUUGCAUGUUUGUUGCAUAGCUAUGUCAAUAUAUGCAUGAAUAUAUUUCCUUUCUCAUGAGACAUGUAAUGAAAAUAUACUGGAUGCUUCACACAUGUCCUUGCAGGAGGCUCAGCUCUUAAUUUGACUUGGAAAUCAAUAAGAAAUCUCCCAAAGCCAUCUACAAUAGGAACCAGAAUUUUGUCUAUUACUCUAAUUUUUCCACAUAGUUUGAAGAAUGGAAAAACUGGAGUUAAAAAUAUAAAACAAUCCGUGAAAAGGUAAUAAGCCAUCUUCCAAACGAUACUGAUAGAAACAUUAAAAAGUUUCACAGGAAAAAAAAAAAAUUAGGAAAAGAUGGGACGAAAGGAAGAGCCAGCAGAGAAAAAGGCCGUGUUCCCUAAGAAAGAGAUUUGGAAAAUAGAACUUUUAUCACAGAGGUCUCGUAGGCCUCAACAGGGACCACCACUUCAUAAUGGGGUUUUGAAUGUCCUGCAGGUGCCCUUCCUAUGAAAGCCAUAUUAAGGCAAUCUUAUUUGGUAAUAGUUGAAAUGGCAUAUCUUCUUUGAUUUGUGUCACAGUGUGACAAGCACAAACAAUAAAAAUAAUUGAAGGCAUCAACAUGGUGAGACCCACAUGAAUGGCAGGUGACAAGUGGCCCCUUCCUAUGUGGAGGGAUGUAAGAGCUAGAGGACAUGACAAGGUGGCAGAUUUGCUCUUUCUUUGUGGACAAAGGGAAGCAAAUUGAUUCAAUAUAGCUAUUCUUAUGUCUUUCUUGAUAAAAAUUUCUUUAUUGGACGUAUAUGGAUUUAGGUAUUUUUUGAACCUGAACUGAAUCGACUCAAUUCAACUAAACAUCUUUCUCAUUGGCUAGAUAAAUAACUACUGAUAGCACCUUGAUAGAAAUGCUUACUACAAAAUUAAAUGCAUUCAGGAGAAGACUUCAAUGGAGCAUUUUACGCUUUUAAUAAACCUUUAAUGAUUUAUGAAAAUUUAGUUUUCUUAGUAGUUACUAAGUGGUGUUAGUAUCGCUCCAACAAGAAUCAAUACUGCUCAAGGACUAAAUUCACCUAGCUUGAUCUGAUGUUGACCUCAGCAAUUCUCCAAGCCAAAUCCAAUUUGGAUCUUUAGUGAAGUCAAAAGCGGCUAGUUAGCCAACUGAGUCUUUUACUGUAAGGGUUCACUUAUCAGCACAUGUAUAUUUGGAUUUCAACAUUCCAUGCUUUUCCUGGGAAUAUGUUAGGACGCGUUUGGUUAGUUAUUAAAAAAAUAUUUUUUUUAUUUUUAAAUUUUUAAAAAAUAAAAAUUGAAAAAUAAUGUUUGAUAAUAUGAUGAAAAAUAAAAAUUAAAAUUAAAAUAAUCAAAAUAAUUACUUUAUAUAUAAAAUAAUUUUUUUUUAUUUUUCAAAAUUUACUUUUCUGUAUUUUUUUUUAUUUUCGCACGUCUAAAACACCAAACCAAAAAGUAAGAGCCUAAAUCCUUUUGCCUCAUCGAGCUCUUCACCCCUCCAUCUCUUUCUCUCUCCUUUUCUGAAUUCUUUUUUCUUGUUGGGUUCUUCAUCUGUUGUCCCAAAAUAUUACUUUUUUUUUUAUAGCAACGUAGUUACCAAACAUAUUUUUUAUUUUUUUAUGUUUACUCAAUAACAAAAAUUAAAAAAAUAAAAAAUAUUUUUAAAAAUUAAAAAUUAAAAAUCAAAAAGUGUAAUCAAAUGCAUCCUUAGUAAACUUGUAAGCUAUUUCCUGUUAUGUAGAUUUUUGAAGGAAAAAAAAAUUGCUGCUUUUGAUUGACGUUCUUUUGCGCUUGGUUCCUUUGCAAUUUGUAUUUGCAAAGAAAGCCCAUUUGGAUCCUGUCUGUCUCCCUGGUUGAAUUUAGGUUUUGGAUGGAAGUGUUGGUUGAAGGGGUUUCAGCUGCUAAAGUUUCAGAAAAAAAAAAUGAGGCAGGAAGUCAAUAAUCCAAAAUAGCAGGAAGACAAUAUCCAAGAAUAGGGAUUGUCACGAGCAGGAUAUAGGUUAAGUCGGUCAAUAUCUAUACCUAUUUCGUAAUUAAAAACUUUAUAUCUAUAUCCAUUCUGUUUGGAUCGAAUCAUACGUGGACAAAUGAGUUGGGUUGGGCUGGAUAAUUAGAGGGAUUAGGUUAUGUCGGAUUGGAUUGAAUCAAGUCGGAUUGGAUAUAUAUAAAUAUUAGAAAAAUAUUUUAAUUUUGAAAGAGAAAUAUAAAUUAAGAUUAUAUCAGUUCUUAUUCAAGGUGCAGCAUAUCAUUAUUUAUAUUUGAUUCAAAUUUUGGUAUUUUUUUCUAGAAUCCAUAUUUGUUUUAGAUUUUAGUAGAAUCGUAUAAAAUCUGUCACAUUCAAAUUGGAUCGGAUCAUAUCGGAUUUUUGAUGGGCCGGCUAAAUUACCAUCCCUAUUCAUGAGAUGCAAUAAAAUCAGUUUCUAAUCCAUCCGGUUAUUGAUCUUUUGUAAUUAUAUAAUUUUUUCUUUUGAUGGGAGCAAAAGCGGCAGUAAAGUAUCUACUCAGUGGGUACGAAGGUUUAUCACAAAUGUGUUAGGCCAAUCUCGUACAUGGCUACUUGUUUACACCAUAUAAAUUAUACCAGCAUCUAGCACAAUUGCACAAGCAAUGUAUAUGAUUGAUUGAAGUAGAUGAAGCAUUGGAUGGAUGGUUGAGAAGCUAUCAACCUUUGAAAUUUGUGCUUGUGCGCAUGACUGAAGCCUGAAACUUCAACCUUAGGAUAACUCAACAACUAUGAUACCCUUGCACUAGCCAAAUGUACAUGCCACCAACCCUAGGUUGCAUGAUCUUUUUAUGUGGCAAUUGAUGCAUAAACCUCACCUUUUUUUAUUUUAUUUAUUUUUUCUUGGUUAAUGGCUACCAUUGUUCCCACCAUGAAAUCUAAAGAGUGAAAAUCAAAAGGAGUUUAUUGAUCAUAGGAGAGAAUGCUUGCCACACACCAUUGUUACAAAGUGUCACCCAUCAAACUCAACGAGCUGUUGAGGUUUAAAUAAUAGGAUAUAUGUAAGAUAUAUAUGUGGUUAAUACAGUCUCAUUAUAAGUACUAAGCAAUCACGCAUCAUUUCUAGUCCAAUCUAUCAAAACUGUUUCCUGUCGCUCUCUCUUCUUAAAUAAGUUUAUCUAUAUGCUCAAAGUAUCAGAACUGGAGUAUUAUAAUCUUGACAUUUGGUCCAACGCAUAACCCACAUAAGAGCUUUAUGGGUUGUUCAAUUUAGAGUUGAGGUACUUAUUUGGUGGAAAUCCUUGCUGCAUGGUGUCAGCUAUUUUUCUCGGUUUACAUUUUAAAACCACCGGCCAGUGAGAAGGAUAGGUCAACCGCCGCACUACUCCAUGGAUCCACUUGGAACCUUCUCUAGGAAGUGGAUUGCGUACAACCCGAUGGGGACCUGCGAUCGAUGGAAUCUGGCCGACAGCCACUUGGUGGCGGAUCCAACGGGCGAGAGUUGGUAGAACAAAUCCAUCAUUUGACAAUGGGGAUCG